UAAGGAAUAUUGGUCAAUGGACGCAAGUCUGAACCAGCCAUGCCGCGUGAAGGAUGAAGGUCCUCUGGAUUGUAAACUUCUUUUAUCUGGGACGAAAACGGGAUUUUUAUCUCAAUUGACGGUACCAGAGGAAUAAGCACCGGCUAACUCCGUGCCAGCAGCCGCGGUAAUACGGAGGGUGCGAGCGUUAUCCGGAUUUACUGGGUUUAAAGGGUGCGUAGGUGGGCUUAUAAGUCAGUGGUGAAAUCUCCGAGCUUAACUUGGACACUGCCGUUGAUUCUAUAGGUCUUGAAUUAUCUGGACGUAAGCGGAAUAUGUCAUGUAGCGGUGAAAUGCUUAGACACGACAUAGAACACCAACUGCGAAGGCAGCUAACUACAUAGAGAUUGACGCUG
rnacentral:rRNA from 1 species